UGUGCUGUUUAAGGCAAACACUUCAUUAUCAUUUUUUUUUUUUUUUAAUCAUGUAUGUAAACAAAACUGGAAGUUGCGGUAUUUCAAAUCUCACGGCCUUGGCAGCUGCUAGCCCCCUAAGAUUAUUAUUAAAGAGAGAGAGAGAGAGGGACAGAGAGAGAGAGAACAAUAACAACAACUGAGUAAACUUGCGAUGACAAGAACAAGUUGAGAAGUCAACGUGUCUGUAGGGCCCCCUCCCUUGUCAUUUGUUGCUUUUUCAGUUGUUGUUGCUUAUGCAACAUUAAGUUUCAGCUUAAUUUGCCUUGCAAAGCAUUUCACAAACGUCAUCGAAUAAAAUUAAAAAUGUGCCAAAAGAUUUGUUUAGCUGCGAGACACACAGAGCGAGAGAAUGAGAAAUAUGAUUAGACAACGCAGAAGUCAAACAUUUUGGAUGUUUGCCAAAACCAGUGUUGCCAGUGCUUUCAAACUGAAAAGUUGGCAACACUGGCCAAAACUGACAAAAAUGCGAUGCAUUGCAACACGAGCGGAAAGCGAACAUGGAAUGUGAAGGAACAAAUAAAACAUUGAAGACUGCUCGAAAACUGUAUACAAAAUAAUCAUAUAAAUUUA